rnacentral:sRNA from 1 species
AUGGCCCCUGCACUGCUCCUGGUCCCUGCUGCCCUCGCCUCUUUCAUCCUGGCCUUUGGCACCGGAGUGGAGUUCGUGCGCUUUACCUCCCUUCGGCCACUUCUUGGAGGGAUCCCGGAGUCUGGUGGUCCGGGUAUACUACCAUGUGCUGGGGCUGGGCGAGCCUCUGGCCCUGAAGUCUCCCCGGGCUCUCAGACUCUUCUCCCACCUGCGCCACCCAGUGUGUGUGGAGCUGCUGACAGUGCUGUGGGUGGUGCCUACCCUGGGCACGGACCGUCUCCUCCUUGCUUUCCUCCUUACCCUCUACCUGGGCCUGGCUCAUGGGCUUGAUCAGCAAGACCUCCGCUACCUCCGGGCCCAGCUACAAAGAAAACUCCACCUGCUCUCUCGGCCCCAGGAUGGGGAGGCAGAGUGAGGAGCUCACUCUGGUUACAAGCCCUAUUCUUCCUCUCCCCCUGAAUUCUAAAUCCUUAACAUCCAGGCCCUGGCUGCUUCAUGCCAGAGGCCCAAAUCCAUGGACUGAAGGAGCUGCCCCUUCUACUACUUGAGACUUUAUUCUCUGGGUCCAGCUCCAUACCCUAAAUUCUGAGUUUCAGCCACUGAACUCCAAGGUCCACUUCUCACCAGCAAGAAAGAGCGGGGUAUGGAAGUCAUCUGUCCCCUCACUGUUUAGGGCAUGACACUCUCCCCCUCAACAGCCUCCUGAGAAGGUAAGGAUCUGCCCUGACCACUCCCCUGGCACUGUUACUUGCCUCUGCACCUCAGGGGUCCCCUUCUCCACCGCUGGCUUCCACUCCAAGAAGCUGGACCAGGGUCUGCAAGUUCAACGGUCACAACUGUCCCUCUAGGCCCCAACCUUGCCUCACCACUCCCAGCCGUAGUCUCUGCACCUCAUUAGGCCCUGCCUCUGGGCUCAGACCCCAACCUAGUCAAGGGGAUUCUCCUACUCUUAACUCGAUGACUUGGGGCUCCCUGCUCUCCCGAGGAAGAUGCUCUGCAGGAAAAUAAAAGUCAGCCUUUUUCUACAUA